rnacentral:rRNA from 1 species
UUGCCAGACUCCUACGGGAGGCAGCAGUGGGGAAUAUUGGGCAAUGGGCGCAAGCCUGACCCAGCAACGCCGCGUGAAGGAAGAAGGCUUUCGGGUUGUAAACUUCUUUUAAGGGGGAAGAGAAGAAGACGGUACCUCUUGAAUAAGCCACGGCUAACUACGUGCCAGCAGCCGCGGUAAUACGUAGGGGGCAAGCGUUAUCCGGAUUUACUGGGUGUAAAGGGGGCGCAGACGGCGAUGCAAGCCAGGAGUGAAAGCCCGGGGCCCAACCCCGGGACUGCUCUUGGAACUGCGUGGCUGGAGUGCAGGAGGGGCAGGCGGAAUUCCUGGUGUAGCGGUGAAAUGCGUAGAUAUUAGGAGGAACACCAGUGGCGAAGGCGGCCUGCUGGACGACAACUGACGGUGAGGCGCGAAAGCGUGGGGAGCAAACAGGAUUAGAUACCCCCGUA